AAUCAACGCUGGCGGCGUGCCUAACACAUGCAAGUCGAACGAGAAAGUGGAGCAAUCCAUGAGUAAAGUGGCGACCGGGUGAGUAACACGUGACUAACCUACCUUCGAGUGGGGGAUAACCCUCGGGAAACCGGGGCUAAUACCGCAUAACAUCUUUGAAGUGGAAAUUUCGGAGAUCAAAGGAGCAAUUCGCUGGAAGAGGGGGUCGCGGCUGAUUAGCUAGUUGGCGGGGUAACGGCCCACCAAGGCUAGAUCGGUAGCCGGCCUGAGAGGGCGCACGGCCACACUGGAACUGAAACACGGUCCAGACUCCGUACGGGAGGCAGCAGGUGGGGAAUUUUGCGCAAUGGGGGAAACCCUGACGCAGCAACGCCGCGUGGAGGAUGAAGUCCCUUGGGACGUAAACUCCUUUCGACCCGGACGAUAAUGAACGGGUACGGGUGGAAGAAGCCCCGGCUAACUUCGUGCCAGCAGCCGCGGUAAU
rnacentral:rRNA from 1 species